UACAGAGGUCUCAAGCGUUUGUUCGGAAUCACUGGGCGUAAAGGGUGCGUAGGCCGCACGGUAAGGUCAGAGGUGAAAUCCCGGAGCUCAACUCCGGAACGGCCUCCGAUACUGCCGUGCUCGAGGACUGGAGAGGAGUCUGGAAUUCACAGUGGAGCAGUGAAAUGCGUAGAUAUUGUGAGGAACACUAGUGGCGAAGGCGAGACUCUGGACAGUUCCUGACGCUGAGGCACGAAGGCCGGGGAGCAAAACGGG
rnacentral:rRNA from 1 species